ACUAGUUUAUCUCAUGGACAUGUUAGCAGCAGUCGCACUGCCUCUCCAUCUCGGAGAACUUCAGACAGUUUGCGUGACAGACCCAGUUUCUCACCAACAAGGAAUAAUUACAGCUCAUCUAGCAAGUCAAUCCUUCGUAAAUCAGAAUCAGUUCUGUCUUUAAAUGGACGUAGUCACCAUGGACGCUGUGGCUCCCCCAUAAGAGAAGGUUAUGAUAUUGAAAGCCAGGCUCUGCUGCGUAACCCAACAGCAAGAAAUGGACUGAAUGAUCAAGAACAUGAAGCUCCCACUGUGUCCCCAUCUAAACAAGGAUAUGACAAACCAAGUCAAUCCAUACUCCGUAAGACUGAAUCAAGUACUGCUGGUGUCAGUCGAGGUCGGGAGAGCCGUUCUUCCUCCCCUAGAAGGAGAGACUAUGAAAAUCCUUCUCAGUACCAACUUAAGAAAACAGACACCGGUGGCUCAUUACAUGGUCGUAGCUAUGAAAGUCGUAACUCUUCCCCUUCAAGGAGAAACUACGAACCUCCUUCCCAGUCUCUGCUGCGCAAAUCUGAAUCUAACAACUCAAUCAGAGGUUGUGACAGUCACAGUUCAGUGGCUUUAAGGAAAAGUUAUGAUGUUCCUGACCAACGUGUGGUACGGACAUCUGAAAUUGGAACUUCCUUUAAUAGCAGGACUCAAAUCAGCCGCAACUCCUCUCCUAGAAGAGGCAACCAUGACCCACCAGGCUACUCAAUCCUCAGAACUGCCUCUAAUGGAGACUCCAGUCGUUCCUUUCAGAGAAAAAACACUCACAAUGAUGCAAAACCUGACUCCAGUCGCUCACCACACUCGUGGAAGGAAUCAACUCAUUCCCUCCGCAGCUCUUCGUUAUCUCGCUCUGCUUCACCCUCUCGACACGCCACAAAUGGCAACAGAACUGCUUUUGUCACCUUGGAAAAACCCAGGAGCUCUGGCAGCAUCAGAUUGGGUAAUGGUAGACAUAGCCGUGAAGAUCACUACUCCUCUCCUCUUGACAAGAGGACCUCACAACGUGCACGGAGCCCAUCUCCUUCACCUCAGGUUCAGUUGCAGAGGCAUACCUCCUCCCAAAGCUCCAUGGAGUCCUCGGAGUCAGGCCAAAUGUCGAUGGGGUCCACAGGACGGAACAGAGAGGAGUACGCCAUGAUGGCUGACCUGCCAAAGGCCAAAAUGAUCCAUCAGAGGGAGGGUCCGGGCCACAUGGGACGACCACAGAGCCAGCAGCCUGUUCGGAGACAGGAGCUCUUCAAACCAGCCAGCCACUCCCUGAGCAGGUUUCCCUCCAGAGAGUGGUUAGACACAGCGGACACUGACAGAGAAUGGCACUACGGUAGCAGUGGACAUCUAUCUCGAGCUCACUCCUCCACCUCAUUACAGAGGUCUGGCAGUCCCACGGCAGAUGAGGGCAGUUCUUGGAAAGGUAAUCAUCACAGAUCGGAACAAAUGCAGGUAUGUCAUAGCCCCAAUCUGUCUUCUCUUAUUAUACUGUAUGUGCAUGCUGAAACAACCUCACAUCUGCUGUGCCAUAUGGAGGGUGACGUUAAACAGCUUUUUUUUGUAAUCACUAAUAUUUGUGAAGUUUGUAAUAAACCUGUAGCGCACACAGAUCAAUAUGAGUUUACU